GGUUGGUCCUUUAGGAACCAGCGGGAAAGAUAAAAGCUAUAGUUUGUACUCUGCUUCGUGAACUAUAUUAUGGCCCCGUUCUCUUUUCUCUCAGAGACCUGCAGACGAACAGGGUAGUGCUGAAUUGAAUUUUUGUGACGACGCUUACUUUUCAGUAUCACUUCUAAACUAAACUGAACUGUUUUUUUAAGAAACCUUGGAAAAUGUGUUGCCCUCAAUGUAUUUGGAAGAAAGCAGUUGCUACUGUUACUUUGAGCCAACCCGUGAUGCUAUAAGAGAUUCGAAAGAAAAUAAUACAGAGCGAGCCAGCGCAUGUAACCUGAGUAACACUAUGUAGGCUGAGUGCUCACGAACAGAAGUUAAUAUUAGCUACUACUCCUAGGAGAAUGAGUUUCGCCCAGUUGAAUUUGACGAAGUUGACUAUUAUGUGACCAAGAAGGACAUCAUAAAUUGUGGCAUUUGAAGAACAUCCUGAGUUCAAAGAGUAUUGCAGAGAGGCUUGGAUUUAGAUGACUAUCAUUAUUCUCCAGAGCUGGGAGUCUUUGUCUCAGAAGACGUUUUGAAAUGAACUAUU